AAUGCGUCUUUCUCGAUCCGGAGCCCCAUCCUCCUCUGCCUUGCAGACGCCUCCAAGCAGUGUCAUCACCUCGUGCGUUUAUGAGUCGUGGUACUGAGGACAUGCCCAAUGCUCCUAGCGUUUAGGAGGCGCAGCACCAACAGAAUACAUCAAUGCAUCAAUGGCCUUCGAGCCAAUGAUUGAUCGUGGCUCCACCGCGCAAUUCUGGAAGAGCGCUUACUUACCUUGCAAGCCGCCGAGGCCCUGUGUUCAGUUCUUAGUACCGCGAAGGGAGCGGCAAAUUAUCCUUUUGAUAUUCGAAGACUUUGCUGCCUGCACACUGGUGUGGUGGAAACAACGCUGAAAACCUGGUGCUCCGUGUACGCUUGCAGUGCAACUGUGUGCACCUUUGGGUUUUUGUCAUGAUAUUAAUGGUCAUCUAGAGAACUAAUUCUAGAAGGCUUCAUAAUUCUAGAAGGCUUCAUCUAACUUCCUGAACAUGACUUUUUUGUGUUUGAGUCUCUACCAGUUUUCUGCAGUGAACCAAGACCAUGCCUA